GCUGCUAAAGCUGUUCCAUGCCUAUUGGCCGAAUACUCCAAGCUUGUACUUUACCUAUAAAACUUCAUGCACACGUAUUGGAGGUGCUCAGAGCUUCGGAGCAGAAGCCCCUCUGAGCCCGCCGGCAUAAUACAUCUGAGUACUCCAACCCUCUGAGUGGUGCUUGUUUCUUGGCUGGCCUGUCAUUUCCGUAACAUAACCACUGUUU